GAUCCAGACUCCUACGGGAGGCAGCAGUGGGGAAUAUUGGGCAAUGGGCGCAAGCCUGACCCAGCAACGCCGCGUGAAGGAAGAAGGCUUUCGGGUUGUAAACUUCUUUUAUUCGGGACGAAGCAAGUGACGGUACCGAAUGAAUAAGCCACGGCUAACUCCGUGCCAGCAGCCGCGGUAAUACGGAGGAUGCGAGCGUUAUCCGGAUUUAUUGGGUUUAAAGGGUGCGUAGGCGGAAUGCCAAGUCAGCGGUAAAAUCGCGGGGCUCAACCUCGCUCCGCCGUUGAAACUGGCGUUCUUGAGUGGGCGAGAAGUAUGCGGAAUGCGUGGUGUAGCGGUGAAAUGCAUAGAUAUCACGCAGAACUCCGAUUGCGAAGGCAGCAUGCCGGCUCCACACUGACGCUGAGGCACGAAAGCGUGGGUAUCGAACAGGAUUAGAUACCCGUGUAU
rnacentral:rRNA from 1 species